CGCCUUUUGUAAUAUACACAUAAAAGGUCCUGCCUGCCCAAUGACCUGUUUUAAUGGCCGCGGUAUUAUGACCGUGCAAAGGUAGCGUAAUCAUUUGUCUUCCAAAUAAAGACCAGUAUGAAUGGCAAAACGAAAGCUUCACUGUCUCCCUAGCCUAAUCAAUGAAAUUGAUCUCCCCGUGCAGAAGCGGGGAUGUAAAUAUAAGACGAGAAGACCCUGUGGAGCUUUAAACUUUGUUUUAGGUUGGGGCGACCAUGAGGCAUAAUGCAACCCUCACGACGAAAACAAGAAGGACACUUCAAACAUUGACCCAAUAUUUGAUCAACGAACCAAGUUACCCCAGGGAUAACAGCGCAAUCUACUCAAAGAGUCCAUAUCGACGAGUGGGUUUACGACCUCGAUGUUGGAUCAGGACCCCCAAACAGCGCAACAGCUGUUAAAGGUUCGUUUGUUCAACGAUUAAAGUCCU
rnacentral:rRNA from 1 species